GGCCAUAUGACUAGUGCUGACCAAUGGACUGUGAACAGAAAUGACAGCAUCACUCCCAUGGAGACUCUUCCAUCUCUGUCUUCCCUGUUGUGACAAUCUCAGAGGCUACGUUCUUUCAAUGGCUGGGCUACAAGAUGGUGAAAGGCUGCCCAGCCUGACACAGCAAGAAGGCAGCCAUCUGCAAACCAGAAAGAGAGCCCUCACCAGGAACCGGAUCUGCUGGCACCUUGAUCUUGGACUUCCCAGCCUUUAGAGCUGUGAGAAAUGUCACCCCCAGGUCAAUGGGAUAUUUGUUAUAGCACCAGGUACUGCCUGAGAACUCUACCUUUAGGGAGCCUGCAUGCUGGGUCCCUGGGGAGACAAUGAAGGUGCUUGACACCCAGUUUGAAUAUUGGGUCACUGCAAAGCUGACUGCUGCUGAAGGACAGCCAGUGAGAGGUCAUGGCAAGCCAUCAGAAGAAGCAGAAGUCACGAGCAGGCUGAAGCUAUGAGGCCAAGACAAAAUGACACAUUGCCACAAGAAGAGGGACAAACAUGCAACAGGCAGAGCCCACGGGAAUCAGUAAUCUUCUGCUACCACUGAGGCCUGGGGACUAACUCAGAUCCAGUACUACUCUCUUGGGGCCUGUUCUGACUCCAGCUCCUGUCCUUGGGGUCCCCUGAGAUCCCUGUAGCCUUGUAAUAAGCCCACAUUAUCAUAUUUCCCUUGCUGGCUCCACCCUAGAGCAUUUCCAACAAUUUCCAGUGCUUUUCCCCUUCUCACACCACUGGGCCCUUGCACGUGCUAGUGCCUCCCCAACUUGCCCUGCCUUCUCCUUCACCCAGACAACUCCUACUAAAUCUCUCAGACUCCUCAGCUGUGUCCCUUCCUAGGGGAGGACUCUCCUCCCUCCAGUGAGCCCGGUGGUCCUCCCUGGGAUCCCCUGCUCCUUGUCUUCCCUGCCGUCCUUACUGCUGUCCUUGUUCUCUACUCAGAAGGAGGCAGAGGCUGGCCUGCCCCCACUCCCCUGUAGACUGACCAGAUGAAUUGACCUGGGCUGGGCAGGGCAAGCAUGUUUCACCAAUUGUCUGGGCACCCUAUGACUCAGUCAAGUUGACACAUAAAGUUCACUGCUCCAGGGCCCCUUUAUUGUAUUUGUCUAUGAAUAAAAAACAGCAUCAACUCCAGGUAUCUGAGGGUUCUGGAGGCAGUUCUGUGAUCCCUUUUUACAGAUGAGGAUGCGGAGGCCUGGCUGUCACUCACCCAGAUCACACUUUCAUCUGCUGAUGGAAGGAGUAUUUGAUGGGAUGUGUGAGCCCGGCCAUCUCCCUCGGGACACAUUCAGCUCAUUAAAUUUGCCAGCCCCUGCCUGAAAAAGUGUUUAAUUUGCCUUUUACAAUGCACUGAUUUUAAGUUAAUUAACUGGCAAUUGAAAGUUAUAGGUGGCAUUAGAAUUUAUUAAUAACAUUGGAAAUAAAUCUCCCUGGAAUUCAAUUAAUUGAAAA